AGUUGAAAUAUUGGUUAUCCUCAAUUUUGGCUAUGUCAACAUGAGGAACAGGGGAGUCUGGAGAAAGAACCCUGAAUUCACAUUGUGACACCACAGACUCUGGGGAGGAUGCUCUAAAGUCGAACAACCAUUCCCGAAGAAGUGAUGUGUCCUGAUCAGAGGAAACAGAAUCUGGAGACAAUGCCCUGCUGCUAUGUGAGGAAAAAAUAAGCCCUUCUCUACUGAUACCACAGACUCUGGGGAAGAUAAUCUGAGGUCUAACAACCAGUUCUGAAGGAGUGACAUGUCCUGAUCAGAGGAAAUAGUAUCUGGAGACAAUGCCCUGAUGAUUCUGGGGAGGAUGCUCUGAAGUCUAACAACCAGUCCUGAAGGAGUGAUGUGUCCUGAUCAGAGGAAACAGAAUCUGGAGACAAUGCCCUGCUGCUAUGUGAGGAAAAAAUAAGCCCUUCUCUACUGAUACCACGGACUCUGGGGAAGAUAAUCUGAGGUCUAACAACCAGUUCUGAAGGAGUGACCUGCCCUGAUCAGAAGAAACAAAAUCUGGAGACAAUGCCCUUCUGCUAUGUAAGAGACAAUCGAUUCUGGUGUGCAUGACCUGCAGUUGAAAUAUUGGUUAUCCUCAAUUUUGGCUAUGUCAACAUGAGGAACAGGGGAGUCUGGAGAAAGAACCCUGAAUUCACAUUGUGACACCACAGACUCUGGGGAGGAUGCUCUGAAGUCUAACAACCAGUCCUGAAGGAGUGAUGUGUCCUGAUCAGAGGAAACAGAAUCUGGAGACAAUGCCCUGCUGCUAUGUGAGGAAAAAAUAAGCCCUUCUCUACUGAUACCAUGGACUCUGGGGAAGAUAAUCUGAGGUCUAACAACCAGUUCUGAAGGAGUGACCUGCCCUGAUCAGAAGAAACAAAAUCUGGAGACAAUGCCCUUCUGCUAUGUAAGAGACAAUCGAUUCUGGUGUGCAUGACCUGCAGUUGAAAUAUUGGUUAUCCUCAAUUUUGGCUAUGUCAACAUGAGGAACAGGGGAGUCUGGAGAAAGAACCCUGAAUUCACAUUGUGACACCACAGACUCUGGGGAGGAUGCUCUGAAGUCUAACAACCAGUCCUGAAGGAGUGAUGUGUCCUGAUCAGAGGAAACAGAAUCUGGAGACAAUGCCCUGCUGCUAUGUGAGGAAAAAAUAAGCCCUUCUCUACUGAUACCACGGACUCUGGGGAAGAUAAUCUGAGGUCUAACAACCAGUUCUGAAGGAGUGACCUGUCCUGAUCAGAAGAAACAAAAUCUGGAGACAAUGCCCUUCUGCUAUGUAAGGAAAAAAUAAGCCCUUCUCUACUGAUACCACGGACUCUGGGGAAGAUAAUCUGAGGUCUAACAACCAGUUCUGAAGGAGUAACCUGUCCUGAUCAGAGGAAAUAGUAUCUGGAGACAAUGCCCUGAUGCUAUGUAAGAGACAAUCGAUUCUGGUGUGCAUGACCUGCAGUUGAAAUAUUGGUUAUCCUCAAUUUUGGCUAUGUCAACAUGAGGAACAGGGGAGUCUGAAGAAAGAACCCUGAAUUCACAUUGUGACACCACAGACUCUGGGGAGGAUGCUCUGAAGUCGAACAACCAUUCCCGAAGGAGUGAUGUGUCCUGAUCAGAGGAAACAGAAUCUGGAGACAAUGCCCUGCUGCUAUGUGAGGACAAAAUAAGCCCUUCUCAACUGAUACCACAGACUUUGGGGAAGAUAAUCUGAGGUCUAACAACCAGUUCUGAAGGAGUGACCUGUCCUGAUCAGAAGAAACAAAAUCUGGAGACAAUGCCCUUCUGCUAUGUAAGACUCUGGGGAGGAUGCUCUGAAGUCGAACAACCAUUCCCGAAGGAGUGAUGUGUCCUGAUCAGAGGAAACAGAAUCUGGAGACAAUGCCCUGCUGCUAUGUGAGGACAGAAUAAGGCCUUUUCAGCUGAUACCACCGACUCUGGGGAGGAUGCCCUGAUGUCUAGCUCACUGUCCCAAAGGACUGAUGUGUCCAAAUAAGAGGAAAUAGAAUCUGGAGAUAAUAGCCUACAGCUAAAGAAGGUAUGAAGGGCAACAUCUGACAAAACUGACUGUGGAGACAGUGGUCUAACCUCAUCAAAAAUGUUAGAGUACUGUAAGAAAUAGUUGCAAUAUUUAUUCUGCUCAAUUAAGU